AAUUAAGGGUGACCCCCACUGGGGAAAGAUCUCUGGUUUGGGAUCCUUUCCUUGUGGAAUUUCUUCUGUGGGCCUAGAUUCCCUGGAGAUAAGAUGCUCACGCGACCCCCUGGUGAGAGGAAAUGAAUUGUGGAGCUCCAUCCUUCCAUGAAGGAAAAAGAGAUGAGGAAUUUGGAUUACCUUUGUCUGAAUAUGAUGCAAGAGCUGUUUCAGUGUCAGGUUCUUGCAAUGCCAGUGAAAGGAAGACCCUACAGGACGUUCCUGGAUCUCAGAGAAGCCAUUCUGAACUGUGGCUCCUGCCACAAAUCAGAGCCAUGUGCCAAAAUGGUUAAAACUUCUGUACAGGAAACAUCAGGGAAGAAGAGCCAGUUACAGUGCUGUUUUCUGACAUAAAUCAGCAAAGCUUAAAGGCACUGCUGCAUAUGGACACGAGAUGCUAAAAUUUAACUUUAAAAAGGGGUCAGCAAAGUGACUGUCAAUUUUAGAGAAAAUGAGUACUUUUUUUUUCUUAAUAUUCUUAGUUAACUUCUCCAACUUUUCAAAAAUUAUUAUUUUUGAUGAAACUUCUUAUCAAACUUUUCAAAUUUCAGUGUGAAACAGAUUGUCGUCACUGCAAUGCUCAGCCCAAACAGCGACAGAGUAAAAUAGCUUCAAGAAGCUCUAUUCUCCAAUUGGGAAGCACAGGACAGCCUUCAUUAAAAACAAACACAUAAAUAAGUCCCCUGGAAUAAAACCAGAGCAACUUACAGCACCCCACAGUGCUCUAAUUUUGCUCCUGUGCCCAACAUGUUGUGCUGUGCUUCAUGUGCCAGAGGGACAAUCUGAGUCUGUAAUGUCAGAAGAGUACAUCUGCACAGUAAGAACAGAAUGAAAAUGGUAGAUUCACCAUGCUGAAGGUCAAGGAGACCUUUCUCUUUGCUGUCUGUGUUCAGAAGGACCAGAGGGAUGAAUAACUUCUCAAGCUUCAGCAAGUGGCGGUUAUGGGUUAGAUGUGAAACUGAGCUUGGACUAUUAACAUCUCCUAAAUGCCUCCCCAAAAUCAAGAAUAUUACCAUCACUUCUUGGCCAUCAUCCUGUCACGGUAAUGACAUUUCAAUUGUUUGAACUCCUCCGUGGGACUGUAGCCAAAUAACAGAUUCCUUGCUGGAAUAAAGCAUUCCACUCAGAAACACAACUGGUUUUGAGUGCUGUCAUGUUUAUGCAGUUCUCUGCCAAAGCAAAGCACACUCUUGUUUUUAUUGGAUUAAUAAAGGAUUGUUCUGGAAAACAAUGCUAUUAUUAUACGUGACUUUUUGGAAGAGACCCUCUGCAGAUAACCGUAGCGUUGCACAAAGAAAGAUUAACCAGGAAGGUUGUUUUCUUGCUUUUCUGAGCUCUGCUGAGUGCUAGAACGCAAGUCAUAGAGGAGAACCUCCUGCAUCCCACUCACAACUGAGGGCAACCAUUCCUGGCGGUGGGACAGGCCUGCAGGACAUCACAGCUUCACGGCUUUGCCACCAGCGACAAAGGAGAGCUGAGCUGGGAGGAGCAG
rnacentral:lncRNA from 1 species